GGUUGGCUCAGAAGCAGCCAUCCUUUAAAGAGUGCGUAACAGCUCACUAGUCGAGUGACCCUGCGCCGAAAAUGUACCGGGGCUAAGCCUGAUACCGAAACUGCGGAUUGUAGGAAACUAUAGUGGUAGGGGAGCGUUGUAUACGAGCAGAAGCCGUACCGUGAGGAGCGGUGGAUUGUAUAGAAGUGAGAAUGCCGGUGUGAGUAGCGAGAUGUAGGUGAGAAUCCUACACACCGAAAGCCCAAGGAUUCCAGGGGAAGGUUCGUCCGCCCUGGGUAAGUCGGGACCUAACGCGAGGCCGAAAGGCGUAGUGGAUGGAAAGCAGGCGAAAGAUUCCUGCACCCGUAUAUGGAGCGAAGGAGUGACGGAGACGGAUAGUGUGACCCUCUUAAUGGAUUGAGGGCGAAGCGAAGCGGCUGGUUACCAGGCAAAUCCGGUAACCAAAAGGCUAGAGCGUGACAGGUAAGCGAAAUCUUCGGAAAGUAGCGAAGCACAUGAUGACGGCUUCCAGGAAAAGCUUCUGGCAAUGCAUAUGCGGCCCGUACCAAAACCGACACAGGUGGGCAGGGAGAGAAUCCCGAGGUGAGCGAGAGAACUGUUGCCAAGGAACUCGGCAAAAUGACUCCGUAAGUUAGCGAGAAGGAGUGCUUAAGCAAUUAAGCCGCAGUGAAGAGGCCCAAGCGACUGUUUAACUAAAACACAGCUCUCUGCGAAGUCGCAAGACGAAGUAUAGGGGGUGACACCUGCCCGGUGCUGGAAGGUUAAGAGGAUCUGUUAAGAGCGAUCUGAAGCAGUGAUCCGAAGCCCCAGUGAACGGCGGCCGUAACUAUAACGGUCCUAAGGUAGCGAAAUUCCUUGUCAGGUAAGUUCUGACCCGCACGAAAGGUGUAACGAUUUGGGCGCUGUCUCGGCAGCAGACUCGGUGAAAUCUUAGUACCUGUGAAAAUGCAGGUUACCCGCAACUAGACGGAAAGACCCCAUGGAGCUUUACUGCAGCCUGAUAUUGAAUUCUGGUCAUACAUGUACAGGAUAGGUGGGAGACAAAGAGACGUGCACGCCAGUGUACGAGGAGUCGCCGUUGGGAUACCACUCUUGUGUGACCGGGGUUCUAACCUGGUAUCGAGAACAGGUACGGGGAGAGUGUCAGGUGGGCAGUUUGACUGGGGCGGUCGCCUCCCAAAGAGUAACGGAGGCGCCCAAAGGUUCCCUCAGCGCGGCCGGAAAUCGCGCGAAGAGUGUAAAGGCAGAAGGGAGCUUGACUGAGAGCCAAACACGGCGAUCAGGUACGAAAGUAGGGCUUAGUGAUCCGGUGGCAUCCAAGUGGAAGGGCCAUCGCUCAACGGAUAAAAGCUACCCUGGGGAUAACAGGCUAAUCUCUCCCAAGAGUCCAUAUCGACGGGGAGGUUUGGCACCUCGAUGUCGGCUCAUCACAUCCUGGGGCUGAAGUCGGUCCCAAGGGUUGGGCUGUUCGCCCAUUAAAGUGGUACGUGAGCUGGGUUCAGAACGUCGUGAGACAGUUCGGUCCCUAUCCAUCGCGGGCGCAAGAGAUUUGAAGGGGGCUGCUCCUAGUACGAGAGGACCGGAGUGGACGAACCAAUGGUGUACCAAUUAUCUCGCCAGAGGUAUAGUUGGGUAGCUACGUUCGGAAAGGAUAAACGCUGAAAGCAUCUAAGCGUGAAACCAGCCUUAAGAUGAGAUCUCUCAUAGAGUAAUCUAGUAAGACACCUUGG
rnacentral:rRNA from 1 species